UAACUGGAGGAAGGUGGGGAUGACGUCAAGUCCUCAUGGCCCUUAUGGCCAGGGCUUCACACGUAAUACAAUGGUCGGUACAGAGGGUAGCCAACCCGCGAGGGGGAGCCAAUCUCAGAAAGCCGAUCGUAGUCCGGAUUGCAGUCUGCAACUCGACUGCAUGAAGUCGGAAUCGCUAGUAAUCGCGGAUCAGCAUGUCGCGGUGAAUACGUUCCCGGGCCUUGUACACACCGCCCGUCACACCAUGGGAGUGGGUUUCACCAGAAGUAGGUAGCCUAACCGCAAGGAGGGCGCUUACCACGGUGGGAUUCAUGACUGGGGUGAAGUCGUAACAAGGUAGCCGUAUCGGAAGGUGCGGUUGGAUCACCUCCU
rnacentral:rRNA from 1 species